CCUGGCAAAUUGCUCUGAGGUUGUUGAAGGCAGAACCUGUCCAGCUGUACUGUCUGUCCUGUCCCUGCUGUGGUUGGCCUGGCAGGGUGGAGCACCUGCACGCGUCGCAGUGCAAAGUCUGCUGUCUUAGCACAAACUGGCUCUCACCAGCACUUUAAAGAAAAUUGCUGGACUUUGCAUCUGAGGCUUGUACGCACAGCCCCAGCCGGCUUUCUUCUGUGGGGAUGUUUUCUCCUGGGAAACAAGUGGUAAUGAAUUGUGGAGGACCUAGAAGCAGAAUAAUUAUUUCUGUUCAUGAGUAUCCAAAGACUUACAGACUUUUUCGCAUGGAUUUGCAGAAAUCGAUCCUUAGUCCCAUUUAAAUGACUACACCAGAUGUUCUCAACUGAAUGAAAAUGUACGUGGUAUGCAGGCACCAAAGAUUGCAAAUAAAUGUUUUUCAAAACUGCCUGUAAUUAUGCAAAGUAAAUUUUAUGCAAGAAGUGGCGCCACCUAAAUGACAAAAUAACAUAUGCACAUGUUAGAAAAGAGUCUUUUCAAAGGAUCGCCGCCCUCCUGGAAUAGCUAGAGUCUUCAAUUACAAGUUAAUCUAUCCUAGUAAUAUUAAUUUGGGAGUUGAUUGGGAGUGGUCCUCUGUUUUUUCAGUAGUUAUUGUAUUCUUUCUACUCUUUCAAUUCUACAGAAUUACCUCCUGUAUGAACACCAUGUGGCAACAUGACUAGUUCUGCUGCAACUUUCCCCAUGGCAAGGACUAGAAAAAGGAAGACAGUGAAGGUUUAAAGGAUUUGCAAUUGUAAGCAGCUGAGAAGGAAAUGCGCACUAAUUCUUCUCAGAAGCAGACUACUAAGCUGCAGGCUGAGUGACGUCCUGUGGGUCCAAGCUCCACUAUACAGAAGUGGGAAUAGUGAGUCUGAAAGUUAAGAGUCUCAGUUGGCUGUUAGUAAUUCUUCUGGUCAUCUGUGAAAGUCUCAGGGAUGGUCCAGUCAAUAGAGCCAUAUCAUUCAUGAAUCUAAGUUUAGGUCACUCUAAGAAGCAUAGCAGACUUGAAAAAGAAAGUUUUAAUGGAUCAGAAGAAGCAAGAUUGAUUUUGAGAAAAUAGACACCUUCAUGUAGGACCUUUCCCGAUGAGUCCUCACAUCUGUGACUGCUUUGUACCAAAAUUGACUUUAUAGUCCACACAACCUGGUCUUUAUGAACCCCAGAGGCAGAGUUUUCCUUCCACUGAAUUCCCCUAGUGAAGAUCCAAACUCUUGUCAUCGCAUGACUUAAUAGAUAUUCACUUUGAAUCACAAAACCUUACGCAAAGAUGUUUAAUUGUGUAUUACAUUCAUCCAUGUGUCUUCUCUGUGAGACCAGAGUCUCUUAUAAUAUAAACCAGUUUGAAUUCUCUUUUAUCAUACAUCUGAAAGAAAACAAAGAACAACAAAAACCUCCCACACCAUUUAAAAUGUGUUUACCUGAACUUCUCACCUUAUUACAGAUAGACAUGUGGUGGGAUGGGGAAUUCUGUGUCCUGUUUGUCUUGCUCUGUCACCACAUGCAUGGAACUCAUAUUUCCAGUACAGCAUCAUGACUUCUCUUUGACAGGCCAUGAAGAUGUGUAUUUGCAAAGGCUUAGAGAGCAAUGGAGACACAUUGACAUGGCCACUUCUACAGUUGCCAUCCCUUAGUGCUGUUUAGCUGUGUCAUCUCCCAGCCUAGGCAAACAUAAAUAAAGCAAGCCCUCAGAAUUAAUAUCUCUGUCUCUGUUUUCUACACGGACCACUAAACAAAAUGUGUAAGACUUCACCUAUCUGUAAUGCUGACCAGCUACUGUUAAAAAACCUUCUUUUCUGUCUCUGCUUUCAUGCUUUGAUAAUCAUUCCCCUUCCUGUUCAUGUGAUGACUUUAUUGUCUUCAUUUUGUCCAUUUUUAUAUUAAAUACUUCCCUUUGGGUUUUGC